AGUGAACGCUGGCGGUAGGCCUAACACAUGCAAGUCGAACGGCAGCACAGUAAGAGCUUGCUCUUACGGGUGGCGAGUGGCGGACGGGUGAGGAAUACAUCGGAAUCUACUUUUUCGUGGGGGAUAACGUAGGGAAACUUACGCUAAUACCGCAUACGACCUACGGGUGAAAGCAGGGGAUCUUCGGACCUUGCGCGAUUGAAUGAGCCGAUGUCGGAUUAGCUAGUUGGCGGGGUAAAGGCCCACCAAGGCGACGAUCCGUAGCUGGUCUGAGAGGAUGAUGAGCCACACUGGAACUGAGACACGGUCCAGACUCCGACGGGAGGCAGCAGUGGGGAAUAUUGGAAAAUGGGCGCAAGCCUGAUCCAGCCAUACCGCGUGGGUGAAGAAGGCCUUCGGGUUGUAAAGCCCUUUUGUUGGGAAAGAAAAGCAGCAGGUUAAUACCCCGCUGUUCUGACGGUACCCAAAGAAUAAGCACCGGCUAACUUCGUG
rnacentral:rRNA from 1 species